GUCCUGGAAUGAAGUAUUUUUUAAACAACAGCAUUGUCCUAUAUUAGUUAUAAAUGAAGUUGAAUUCUUUGAUUCGCUGUUUUACGCCAUGCCCGCUAACAAAUUGAAACUUAUUUUUAGUCCAGAUUUUUAGUAUUCGUAUUGUUAUCUUAGAAAGUCUUACGGAUUAAAAUACUACAAUAGGUAACAAUUUGACAAUUUAGUAGUGUCAACCCUGUGAUUAUGACCCGUGUAUAUAGCAUAUUAAUCCUGAAUACACCGUUUGGUGGUGCGCCUGUCAGAUGCGGAACGUACAGAUAAGGUAAUAGGUAACAGGUGAUUAUACUAUUGGUAUCGGUAUCGGACUCGACCCGGAACUUCCUAAUUAUUGGCAAUAUUAAUUACGUGGAAAACAAAAGGGCCUG
rnacentral:lncRNA from 1 species